ACGAACGCUGGCAGCAUGCCUAACACCUGCAAGUCGAACGAGACCUUCGGGUCUAGUGGCGCACGGGUGCGUAACGCGUGGGAACCUGCCCUUAGGUUCGGAAUAACUCCCCGAAAGGGGUGCUAAUACCGGAUAAUGUCUUCGGACCAAAGAUUUAUCGCCUUUGGAUGGGCCCGCGUUGGAUUAGCUAGUUGGUAGGGUAAAAGCCUACCAAGGCGACGAUCCAUAGCUGGUCUGAGAGGAUGAUCAGCCACACUGGGACUGAGACACGGCCCAGACUCCUACGGGAGGCAGCAGUGGGGAAUAUUGGACAAUGGGCGAAAGCCUGAUCCAGCAAUGCCGCGUGAGUGAUGAAGGCCUUAGGGUUGUAAAGCUCUUUUACCCGGGAUGAUAAUGACAGUACCGGGAGAAUAAGCUCCGGCUAACUCCGUG
rnacentral:rRNA from 1 species